CAUGCAGUCGAACGCUUUGUGGUUCAACUGAUUUGAAGAGCUUGCUCAGAUAUGACGAUGGACAUUGCAAAGAGUGGCGAACGGGUGAGUAACACGUGGGAAACCUACCUCUUAGCAGGGGAUAACAUUUGGAAACAGAUGCUAAUACCGUAUAACAAUAGCAACCGCAUGGUUGCUACUUAAAAGAUGGUUCUGCUAUCACUAAGAGAUGGUCCCGCGGUGCAUUAGUUAGUUGGUGAGGUAAUGGCUCACCAAGACGAUGAUGCAUAGCCGAGUUGAGAGACUGAUCGGCCACAAUGGGACUGAGACACGGCCCAUACUCCUACGGGAGGCAGCAGUAGGGAAUCUUCCACAAUGGGCGAAAGCCUGAUGGAGCAACGCCGCGUGUGUGAUGAAGGGUUUCGGCUCGUAAAACACUGUUGUAAGAGAAGAAUGACAUUGAGAGUAACUGUUCAAUGUGUGACGGUAUCUUACCAGAAAGGAACGGCUAAAUACGUGCCAGCAGCCGCGGUAAUACGUAUGUUCCAAGCGUUAUCCGGAUUUAUUGGGCGUAAAGCGAGCGCAGACGGUUAUUUAAGUCUGAAGUGAAAGCCCUCAGCUCAACUGAGGAAUUGCUUUGGAAACUGGAUGACUUGAGUGCAGUAGAGGAAAGUGGAACUCCAUGUGUAGCGGUGAAAUGCGUAGAUAUAUGGAAGAACACCAGUGGCGAAGGCGGCUUUCUGGACUGUAACUGACGUUGAGGCUCGAAAGUGUGGGUAGCAAACAGGAUUAGAUACCCUGGUAGUCCACACCGUAAACGAU
rnacentral:rRNA from 1 species